GCCUGAUUGGCUUAGGGGUAAAGCGCGUCCUUGGUAAGGACGAGAUCCCGGGUUCAAUUCCCGGAUCAGGCU
rnacentral:tRNA from 1 species